UACGUAGGUGGCAAGCGUUGUCCGGAUUUAUUGGGUUUAAAGGGUGCGUAGGCGGCUUUGUAAGUCAGUGGUGAAAUAUGUCAGCUUAACUGAGAGGGUGCCAUUGAUACUGCAGAGCUUGAGUACAGAUGAGGUAGGCGGAAUUGACGGUGUAGCGGUGAAAUGCUUAGAUAUCGUCAAGAACACCUAUAGCGAAGGCAGCUUACUAGGCUGUAACUGACGCUGAGGCACGAAAGUGUGGGGAUCAAACAGGAUUAGAUACCCUAGUAGU
rnacentral:rRNA from 1 species